UGCAAGUCGAGCGAACAGAUGAGAAGCUUGCUUCUCUGAUGUUAGCGGCGGACGGGUGAGUAACACGUGGGUAACCUACCUAUAAGACUGGGAUAACUCCGGGAAACCGGGGCUAAUACCGGAUAAUAUUUUGAACCGCAUGGUUCAAUAGUGAAAGACGGUUUCGGCUGUCACUUAUAGAUGGACCCGCGCCGUAUUAGCUAGUUGGUAAGGUAACGGCUUACCAAGGCGACGAUACGUAGCCGACCUGAGAGGGUGAUCGGCCACACUGGAACUGAGACACGGUCCAGACUCCUACGGGAGGCAGCAGUAGGGAAUCUUCCGCAAUGGGCGAAAGCCUGACGGAGCAACGCCGCGUGAGUGAUGAAGGUCUUCGGAUCGUAAAACUCUGUUGUUAGGGAAGAACAAAUUUGUUAGUAACUGAACAAGUCUUGACGGUACCUAACCAGAAAGCCACGGCUAACUACGUGCCAGCAGCCGCGGUAAUACGUAGGUGGCAAGCGUUAUCCGGAAUUAUUGGGCGUAAAGCGCGCGUAGGCGGUUUCUUAAGUCUGAUGUGAAAGCCCACGGCUCAACCGUGGAGGGUCAUUGGAAACUGGGAAACUUGAGUGCAGAAGAGGAGAGUGGAAUUCCAUGUGUAGCGGUGAAAUGCGCAGAGAUAUGGAGGAACACCAGUGGCGAAGGCGGCUCUCUGGUCUGUAACUGACGCUGAUGUGCGAAAGCGUGGGGAUCAAACAGGAUUAGAUACCCUGGUAGUCCACGCCGUAAACGAUGAGUGCUAAGUGUUAGGGGGUUUCCGCCCCUUAGUGCUGCAGCUAACGCAUUAAGCACUCCGCCUGGGGAGUACGACCGCAAGGUUGAAACUCAAAGGAAUUGACGGGGACCCGCACAAGCGGUGGAGCAUGUGGUUUAAUUCGAAGCAACGCGAAGAACCUUACCAAAUCUUGACAUCCUUUGACCGCUCUAGAGAUAGAGUCUUCCCCUUCGGGGGACAAAGUGACAGGUGGUGCAUGGUUGUCGUCAGCUCGUGUCGUGAGAUGUUGGGUUAAGUCCCGCAACGAGCGCAACCCUUAAGCUUAGUUGCCAUCAUUAAGUUGGGCACUCUAGGUUGACUGCCGGUGACAAACCGGAGGAAGGUGGGGAUGACGUCAAAUCAUCAUGCCCCUUAUGAUUUGGGCUACACACGUGCUACAAUGGAUAAUACAAAGGGCAGCGAAUCCGCGAGGCCAAGCAAAUCCCAUAAAAUUAUUCUCAGUUCGGAUUGUAGUCUGCAACUCGACUACAUGAAGCUGGAAUCGCUAGUAAUCGUAGAUCAGCAUGCUACGGUGAAUACGUUCCCGGGUCUUGUACACACCGCCCGUCACACCACGAGAGUUUGUAACACCCGAAGCCGGUGGAGUAACCUUUUAGGAGCUAGCCGUCGA
rnacentral:rRNA from 1 species